ensembl:lncRNA
GUGAUCGCCUCAUCAUCCUCGUUCUCCCAUAAAGGGCCAGACAGUGCCACUACUCGACGCUGGAUCACAAUUGACAUAUAUACAGGAGUCCUGUUUGCUCUCCUGUACCAUGGUCUCCCCGUUCAAGCUGGAGCCCCGCAUUCCUUCCCUACCUCGCUUCUGUGCACCGACAGGAUCCCUGACCUCCCUCCAUUCCACAGCGGCACCUGUCCAGCUGCACCGGCCACCUUUCCACCACUGCCCACCUCACCUCUCCAAUCUCUACCUGUUGCUCAGAGAUGAGAAGUCAUGACUCUGCUUGAAUAUGAAUGAAGCGGCUGGUCUAGCUUAGCAUAAUGACUAGAAACUGGUAGAAACAAAAGGUCCAACAUUGUAGAAAUAAUUCUAAUAGCACCUCUUACGCUCACCAAUUAACAAUUUAUUUGUUUGUCUUGUCUGUAUCUUCUGUUUCUGUAAUUGCAUAGCCAAGAAGUAGGUGCUGUAAAACCAGAACUUGAUGUUUUGUACAAAUCGAACAAUUAAGGAUUUAAUAUAAGUUGGAUUAAAAGCCAAUUCAUGGUUUUGGC